GAUGAACGCUGGCGGCGUGCCUAAUACAUGCAAGUCGAGCGAACAGACGAGGAGCUUGCUCCUUUGACGUUAGCGGCGGACGGGUGAGUAACACGUGGGUAACCUACCUAUAAGACUGGGAUAACUUCGGGAAACCGGAGCUAAUACCGGAUAAUAUUUCGAACCGCAUGGUUCGAUAGUGAAAGAUGGCUCUGCCAUCACUUAUAGAUGGACCUGCGCCGUAUUAGCUAGUUGGUAAGGUAACGGCUUACCAAGGCAACGAUACGUAGCCGACCUGAGAGGGUGAUCGGCCACACUGGAACUGAGACACGGUCCAGACUCCUACGGGAGGCAGCAGUAGGGAAUCUUCCGCAAUGGGCGAAGGCCUGACGGAGCAACGCCGCGUGAGUGAUGAAGGUCUUCGGAUCGUAAAACUCUGUUAUUAGGGAAGAACAAACGUGUAAGUAACUGUGCACGUCUUGACGGUACCUAAUCAGAAAGCCACGGCUAACUACGUG
rnacentral:rRNA from 1 species